GUCUACGGCCAUACCACCCUGAAUGCGCCUGAUCUCCUCUGAUCUCGGAAGCUAAGCCGAGUCGGGCCUGGUUAGUACUUGGGAGAUAGUAAGGAGCAGAGCAGAGGGGGAGGACA
rnacentral:rRNA from 1 species